CGUAUCACUUAAAACGAUUCAGAAGCUUACGAUUGACGGAGCGAAGCGACGUCAAAGCGUAUACAAAGUCGAGUCGGUUUAAGGAUACGUUCGUUGGGUAGGGGAGCGUUCUGUAAGCCGUUGAAGGUGUCCUGUGAGGGGUGCUGGAGGUAUCAGAAGUGCGAAUGCUGACAUAAGUAACGAUAAAGCGGGUGAAAAGCCCGCUCGCCGGAAGACCAAGGGUUCCUGUCCAACGUUAAUCGGGGCAGGGUGAGUCGACCCCUAAGGCGAGGCCGAAAGGCGUAGUCGAUGGGAAACGGGUUAAUAUUCCCGUACUUGGUGUUACUGCGAAGGGGGGACGGAGAAGGCUAUGUUGGCCGGGCGACGGUUGUCCCGGUUUAAGCGUGUAGGUGUGUGUUCCAGGUAAAUCCGGUUCACUUUAACACUGAGGCGUGAUGACGAGGCACCACGGUGCUGAAGCAACAAAUGCCCUGCUUCCAGGAAAAGCCUCUAAGCAUCAGGUAACAUCAAAUCGUACCCCAAACCGACACAGGUGGUCAGGUAGAGAAUACCAAGGCGCUUGAGAGAACUCGGGUGAAGGAACUAGGCAAAAUGGUGCCGUAACUUCGGGAGAAGGCACGCUGACACGUAGGUGAAGUGAUUUACUCAUGGAGCUGAAGUCAGUCGAAGAUACCAGCUGGCUGCAACUGUUUAUUAAAAACACAGCACUGUGCAAACACGAAAGUGGACGUAUACGGUGUGACGCCUGCCCGGUGCCGGAAGGUUAAUUGAUGGGGUCAGCGCAAGCGAAGCUCCUGAUCGAAGCCCCGGUAAACGGCGGCCGUAACUAUAACGGUCCUAAGGUAGCGAAAUUCCUUGUCGGGUAAGUUCCGACCUGCACGAAUGGCGUAAUGAUGGCCAGGCUGUCUCCACCCGAGACUCAGUGAAAUUGAACUCGCUGUGAAGAUGCAGUGUACCCGCGGCAAGACGGAAAGACCCCGUGAACCUUUACUAUAGCUUGACACUGAACAUUGAGCCUUGAUGUGUAGGAUAGGUGGGAGGCUUUGAAGCGUGGACGCCAGUCUGCGUGGAGCCGACCUUGAAAUACCACCCUUUAAUGUUUGAUGUUCUAACGUGGACCCGUAAUCCGGGUUGCGGACAGUGUCUGGUGGGUAGUUUGACUGGGGCGGUCUCCUCCUAAAGAGUAACGGAGGAGCACGAAGGUUGGCUAAUCCUGGUCGGACAUCAGGAGGUUAGUGCAAUGGCAUAAGCCAGCUUGACUGCGAGCGUGACGGCGCGAGCAGGUGCGAAAGCAGGUCAUAGUGAUCCGGUGGUUCUGAAUGGAAGGGCCAUCGCUCAACGGAUAAAAGGUACUCCGGGGAUAACAGGCUGAUACCGCCCAAGAGUUCAUAUCGACGGCGGUGUUUGGCACCUCGAUGUCGGCUCAUCACAUCCUGGGGCUGAAGUAGGUCCCAAGGGUAUGGCUGUUCGCCAUUUAAAGUGGUACGCGAGCUGGGUUUAGAACGUCGUGAGACAGUUCGGUCCCUAUCUGCCGUGGGCGCUGGAAGACUGAGGGGGGCUGCUCCUAGUACGAGAGGACCGGAGUGGACGCAUCACUGGUGUUCGGGUUGUCAUGCCAAUGGCACUGCCCGGUAGCUAAAUGCGGAAAAGAUAAGUGCUGAAAGCAUCUAAGCACGAAACUUGCCCCGAGAUGAGUCUUCCCUGAGACCUUGAGUCUCCUGAAGGAACGUUAAAGACGAUGACGUUGAUAGGCCGGGUGUGUAAGCGCAGCGAUGCGUUGAGCUAACCGGUACUAAUGAACCGUGAGGCUUAACCUUACAACGCCGAAG
rnacentral:rRNA from 1 species